rnacentral:lncRNA from 1 species
CGGCGAAAUUCUAAGCCACCGUUUGGUUCGGAAUUAAGUAAAAAUUUGUUAUUUCAGGAAUAAGGUUAAGUUCAGGAUUAAGAAGGGGUUAGAGUAAUUUUGUGUUUGGUUGAGAAUUGGGUUUAAUCUAGAUAUAGAUAAAAUAGUAUUUGGUUGGAGUAGGUGAGAUAAGAAGGAUAGUUGGUAAAAUAGUAUUUUGUUUGGUUAGAGUAGUGGGGUGGGGUAAAAUUAGCUAACCCUACCCAAAUGGGCUAUCCCACCCCCCAAAUUGGAUAUUUGGUAAUAACUUCGGGGUUAACCAAACGGGCGCUAAGAGUACUUAGGAAACAGCCGCGUACUACUGUAAGAUUAAUUGUCUUGUCGUUUGUUUAUCUCACAGACGAUACAAAUCUUAAAGCUUCAUAAAUGAUGGACGGAACGAGCCCACGUAGGGGACCAUUUCUUCUUUCCCAUAUUAAAAUUGUAAAAGUACUUAAGAAUCUACCUAGCGCGGUAAUCUAUUAUAUAGUGUUGUUCGAUAAAAUAUUAGUUAAGAAGCUAGUGCUGAAAGGAGAAACACAAUAAAUUGAGAUUUUUCUGGCCACUUUUCUUUAAAGCAAAAGUGGAACCUCCAAAUUAAAACUUUUUAAGUUUUUCUAUCUCAAAAUUAUAUUUUUAAUUUUUUUCUUCCUGCAGUAGAAACUUCAAAAAAUUUUAUUGUUAAAAACUCUCUAUUAUGUAUAGGUAAAUACAGUAAAACGCACAAACGGCUACAAAAUCAAUCCACAGGGAUCAUACGAUCUUAAGUGGAAAGAGCUUGAGUUGCCACAUUAAUUAAUUAGCUCGCAAAUCCGGCUGUCAAUCUGUGAUGCGUUUAAAGUUUUCAAGCAUCUUCUUGAGCCUGAAAGCUGAGAGCUCUUUACAUAGAUUGAUGGAAUAUCCCUCUGAAAAAGGGUGAAAAAAAAAUAGUGACUUUUUUGAUCGAAUAUUCCAGUUCUUGGUGAAUUUUGGGUAGAGGCUUCCAAAUUAGGAUUCUAAUAUAUAUAUAUAUAUAUAUAUAUAUAUUUACGGCAGAUGCUAAAAUUGAGAAUCAUAAUGAUAAUAAAGAAUAAAGAAAGUUUGGGAUAUUUUUAUCUUUAAAUAUGCGCAAAGAUAGAAUAUUUGGAAUUAUGGUCUAGGAGUGAAGUGUUUUUUUUAAGUGACAAAUAUAGUAUAUUAUUCGCAUUCGUUUAUUUUUUAAAAAAUAUAAAUGAAGCAAAAAAUUUGAAAUAAUUAUAUUUCAAAUUUAAAACCUAGAGUGACAACUAUAAAUUUUUUGCCACGCACCCUAGAAAAUAUAAAGAAUGGGCCCAUGCAAGAAUCAUGAGAAUAUAUACCUGGCUAGGAACCAGCAUUUAUGUGUAAAAUUUUCAUUAAAGUGUCUCAGAAUUUCUAAUUUUGACAAUUUGGUCUCUAAUCUUUUGUGAAUAGUUAUAUGUUUUUACUGAUCAGAAUCAUCCAUUUGAUUGUAAUUAUUUUUAAACUAAACACAUGAAAAAAAAUUAUAUCAUUCUGAUUCUUAUUUUAUAGUUCAAUUUUUCAUUCUGAUUCUUUAUUUUAAACCAAAUGUGUCUAAUUUUUAUUUCUACUUUGGUUUUUUUCCUUUUUUUUGGGGGGGCUUUCUCAGCGCGGCGCCGCCAUCUACUGCCAAGGUUGAGAAUGUCCUGCAGGUUGACACGGCAGCGCACGGCUAUGGGGAAAAAAAAACAGAAAUCGUAUUUAGGAACAAUAUUCUCUCUCUUACAAUUUUUAUUUUUUAAUCUUAAGUUUAUUAUAUAUAAAGAAUCUGUUAUAAUAAUAUGCAGAAAAAGCUAUAGUUCUAUAAACAUCUUAAUUUUUGAAAAUAGUAAAAAAAAAUUGCUGAAUAAUCUGAUUCUUUAAAACUGCUUGAUAAUUCUAAAAAUUUGGAUUCGACAAAUACAUAUCUUUUAAUUUAUCAAAUUUUUGCCAAAAUUUCAAAAUUUUCUAAAAUGCUUAAUUUCUAGCUAUUAUGCACUGAUCAAAACCAAAAUCUUACCAUCCUUCAUUUCAUGAGGAAUCAUUUACACAUACAUUUUAACAAAUAAUAAUAACAAUAAUAAAUAAAAUAGAAAAGAAUAAUGAUUAAAAAGUUAUAAACAAUUUGAAUUACUAUUGCCUCUCUAUAUCCUCCCCUCCAUACUCAUGUUACUCAUCCCUAUGGGUCCUCCUCCCCAUGCACCAACUCCGACCACACCACCUUCUCGACCUCCCCGGGAGUUUCCCUCUCCGUCGAACGCCGACAUGUCGCCGCCAAUGUACAAGCAAUCCAACCGUGCCACCGCGGCCCUCUUCGGCUCCGGGUUGGCCCGACAAACCGGGCACGUCGCAUGCAAGCUCAGCCACACGUCGAUGCACUCCUGGUGGAACAGAUGCAUGCAGCUCGGCAGCAGCCGCACUGUCGCCCCCUCCUCGACCGCGUCGAGACACACCGAGCAGUCGACGACGACGGCCGACGCCUUAUCCCGACCGCCAUCCCCCGACCCCGCCCUGCUGCUGCCGCCGGUGCUGUAAUACGCGAAGGAGGGCAGCGAGGCGAUGGCCGACGGGUCGAGCCCGUCGGCCGGGGGCGGCGGGUCGUCGUCGAGGGCGUCAGCUGCCGCGGCUUGGCGGCAGCGUCGCAGGAGGAUGUAGCAGGCGCAGAGGAAGAGGAUUAGGAGGACGAAGAAGACGGCGAAGACGGUGGCGACGGCGCCGAGGAAGCUGCAGCAGCUGCUGGUGUUUUGGACAUCCGAGGACAUGGUGCAUGAUUAAUUAUGGGAGGUGUUCGACUCGGCCCUUUAAUUAUUAUUAAUUAAAGAUUUGUUGCUAAAAAUAAUAAUUAAGAUAUAUGACUCUUGUGGGGUAGUUAUAUGUUUGUGCCACGUGAUUUAUUAGUUAAAUAGUGACAAGGUGCUUAAUUUGAGGGCAUUGGAGGACACGAAGAUGUAAUUAGACAAAAAUUUGAAGGGGACGAUCUGUGUCGAAAUUAAUUUCUUAUUUAAUUUUUGAGAGGGAUUAAGAUUGCAUGACAGAUGUUGCUGGUCUACUAAUUAAUUAAGCUUUCUUUCCAGGUAGUGAAUUAAUGAGUCCUAACACCGUUGGCUCUGGGGCUCUGUUUGCGGAGGAGAGCCUUAUGUAGGGCUGGCAAAUGAGCGAGCCAGCUCGCGUUCGACUCGAUAUUUGACUCGCUCAAGCUCGACUCGAAAUUAAAUGAGCCGAGCUUGAACAAAAAAAAAGACUCGAAAUUCAUUUCAAGCUGAGCUUAAGUAUUACUCGGCCUUUUGUAAUCGAAUUAGGCUCGAAAGCCGCAAAAUAUAUAUAUAUAUUAUAUAAUUUAUAUAUAUAUAUAUAUAUAUAUAUUAAAAAAUAUAUAAAUAUAUUAUAUUUUAAUUAUAUAUAGGUUGAGUGAAUAGGCUGAGUGAAUAAUCUGAGUUUAAUUAAAAUUGGAUCAAUAUUGUUGACCCAUAAAAACAAACCCAAUAGACAAAUAAAAGAUCAAAAUUUCACUAAAUUUAUACUUUUUUUCUUUCUUUCUUUCUUUCACAGAGCUCUAAAUUUUUAAUAUGUUUCUUUUUUUCUCUUUUUCUAUCUCUCACCCUAAGUGACCAAGCCGGAAGCCCUUCAAAUUACCAAGUAACAACAUAUAUCCGCCAUUGCCUACCUUGCUAUUAAUUGUAUGCUUGAGAAAAUAUACAAAAUAUUUUUAAAGCAAGAAAUUAUUAUUCAUAUAAAAUUUUAAUUUUAGUUAUAUAUGAUUGGAUAGUUUAAUCCAAUAUUUAUCUAUAUAAUUUAUUUAUUUUUGAUUGUAUAAAUGAAAAUGAAUAAUAUAGAGAUUGAAGGCGAAAGAAAAGAUAUGUGAGACGAAAAAGAUUAGAUAUUCAACUCAUAAAUUUUUUUUUUUCAUAUUAUAAUACUAUAUUUCAUAUAAUUAUUUUGUACUUUGAACUAUUUGACAUAUUUUUGUAUCAAAUUAUAGAUAAUGUUCUAUACAAAUUAAACUAUUGAUCGUAUGAUGUUGAGAAUUUCAAGCGGCUCGUUUAGGGCGUCGAGACGCUGCCUGACUCGAAAUUAAGCUCGCUCGAGCUCGGCUCGAAUUAAUUUCAAUCAAGCUUGAGCUUAAAUUUAGCUCGAAAUUAAUUUCAAGCCGAAUCUGAGCGAGAUAAGCUCGCUCAGCUCGCGGCUCGUUUCCACCCCUAGCCUUAUGUAUGGUAACAAGAAAAAAAAUUUAGAUAAAUCACAAUUAUUUAUAUUUAUAUAUAUCACGUUAUAAUGAGACAUGCUACGAGAUAUAUAUAUCAUAAAUAUAUUAUAUUUAUUAUAUAUAUAUUAUAUAUAUAUAUAUAUAUAUUAUAAUUUUAUCGGAUAAAUGAAAAAGAAAGAUAUUCAUAUAUAUUUUCGUCCCAACUUUAUUUUAUUUAUUAGUGUGGGUACAUGAAUCGUGCAUAAAUUAAAAAUAAAAAAAAAUCUUUCAAGUUGCUUUGGCAAAUACUUCCGAACAAGAAAAAUAUACUGGCUCUGAAUCUCCAACAUUAUAAAAUAUAUAUGAUGUUAAAAUUAGUUCUAAAUCUCCAACAUUCUAAAAAAUUUUGAAUUAAUUUUUGCACACAUUUUUUUAUUAUAUAUUUACAAUCAGUACAUGUGACAUGAUUUAUCUGAUAUCCACCGUUGCGCGAAAAAUGUUAAGAGAAACAUUUCCUGCUAAAUUGAUUUUUUGAAUAGCAACAAAAGUAUUCUGCACUAUGAAGUUAAUGUGAGGGGAUUGUGAGAGUCUCUAGCUUUUAUUAUUAUUCGACAGUGCAAAAAGUCCAUAACAAUAAAUACCUCAGAAAUCCAUGACAAUAUUCAAGCUUAAGAGUUAUUGAAUAUUUGAAUAAACAAAAUAUAAAAGCACCUUAAGCCUUUGAAGGAUAAUAGUUAUUUCAAAUGAUAUUAGCAUAAAAAAUUAUAAAUUUGAAUUCUACAAGUCUUAUAAUUUGAAAUAGAGUGUUGAAUAAAAAAACAUACAAAUAUUUUUUCUUUUAAUUACGAGAGUAUUUUUGUCAUGCAGCAACAUGCAUAAGGUUCCUGUACUGCUGCACAUUAUAAUUAAGUUGCAAAGAAUUUGCUCCUUGGGACAAAUAUUCAGUAUGAAGCUUCUAGUGCAUUUUAUGUACAUUUUAAUAUUUGUAUGCGUCUGAUGCAAACAUUUAGUAUAUUAUUCAAUGAAAAAAUUUCGUGUCCUUAAACAAAUCUGGGCUUUAUUAAACAAUAUUUCAGGAGGAAGAGUGGACAUAGAAAAGACUUAGCGACUAAUAUUUAUGUGUUUAAUUAGUUUUUCUAUGUCCGAAUCCAUAUUCAUUUUUCACUAAUCAAGUUACAUUUAAUUACUUUCUGUCCCUAUUAAUAUUUAAUUUCAGAAAAAUAAAUAGAUUAGCUACAGUGCACACUUAGCCCAACCAUUUUACACCCCUUUUCAUUGGGCCCAUUAUGGUAACCAAGUUGAUGAAUUGGGCCAUGGAAGCCCAUAUGAGGGUUGAUGGGCUAGGUCCCCUUUUGACCCAUCUUUUUACGCCGCCUAUUGCUGCUAAAAACAAGGUAUUUUGAAGCGCAUGCAAUUAUAAAUACUGUAUAAUUAUAGAUUAUAGAUGUACACAAUUGAAUAUGAAGUUACUGUAUAGUUAUAGAUGUACACAGUUGGACGCACUUUUACGGCGUUGCUCAAAAAGAAAGUUGUAUUAUCUAAGAGAUUUCAAGAUAGGAGGAAACAAACAAACAAACAAACAAACAUGACCGAUGAUCAUCCAAAUCAUCAUUAGCAGAUCCCCUAUAAGGCAAAAUAAGCACACGCUUAGUUGGCCAACUUGAACGAUCUCAAAACGCCACCUCCCCAGUCCCAGACCCCCAACAACUACUAGUGAGAUAAGGACGAGAAACCCAAUCAAUCAGCAUCAGGUGCAUAUAAAAUCUCUCCGCGAUUAGUUCUCCCGUCGCUGUACGCACUGUUGGCCCGAAGAAUAACCCCCGCAACUACUAGGGAUGCAAACGGGACGGAUCCGAAGGCGAGAGAGUUUUCCCACCUCCCGCUCCAUUUCUUAUCUAGGCAGGACGGAUUCGGGGCCGGUUACUUUUCAUUUUAUUUUUGGCUCCCACUUACCGCUCCAUUCGGGGCGGGAGCAGGGCGGGAGCGGAUUUUUAACGGAUCGUGGUAGAUUAAAGGAAGAAAAGAGUCUCCUGCCUCCCGCUCCAUUUACUUGGCGGAUCGGGACGAAUUCGGGGCGGGCCAUAUUUUUCUAUAUAUUUUGUUUCCACUUACCACCCCAUUCGGGACGGAUCGGGGCGGAGCUCCACCAACCCGGAUCCAUUUGCAUCCCUAGCAACUACCUGUCCCCGCAAUCAUUAGACCUUCGAUCGUCGGUUGUGGCCCAUUUUUUGAUUUUUCUUUUUAUGUUCUUAAUAUUUAUAUUCAAAUUUUUUUUUUUUUAAUAUCUGGACGAAAAAAAAAUGGAGACAUGAGAUUAAAUUAAAUAAUUCUAGGAAUUUAAAUUACUUAAUAUCUAUGUUGGACAUCCCACCAUUCGAUUCUUUUGGGGACUUGUUUUAGAGAGUACUACGCGUCUUUCACGUACACACAGGGAAAAAAAAAAAAAGAAAAAAAUUGUUUGAUGUAAAAAAAAUAUUAGACUCGAAAACAUGCUAUUGGAGUUAGUGCUAAAUUUUUUUUUGUUUGAAGAGAUUGAGUUUAAUUUUUUUUUUUUUUGUUACUCCACGCGGUAUGACUCAUCAAAUUUGUACGAUACAUAUAAAUGAAAGUAUUGAAACUAUUUAUUUAUAUAGUACUUUUUAUCUGAUAAAUUCGCUCACCAAUUUUUCUAUAGUCAAAUUAGAAGUGUCAAGUUAUAUUUGUUUUUUUUUAUAGAAUAGGUAGCACGCUAUCUGCUUCAUUUAUUGAAUGGAUGAAUUAGACUACAGGGGUGAGGCAAUCAAUUAAGACCUCAAGAAAAGAACCGCAACGGACGAAACAUGGCAAAAAAAAAAAAAACGAUCACAAAAGAUCUUUCCAAUAAGAAAUCAGCAGCUCGAGUUUUUGAACGAUUAUAUUUAUUAGGGAGAAAACACUAGAGCUUAAUUUUAGUUUAUAAAAUACGUUACCAAAAUAGUUAUAGUCGGCGAAAGAAUAAAAGCAGGGUCAUACAGACACCAAAUGCGUAAAAUCUUUUUGACUUAUAAGGCAUAGAAUUACGCUCUCAUAUCAUAUUAUGGAGAUAUUAAUCUAAUAACAAAUAAUUCAGAGAUAAUCUUAAGAGAGAGCGCAAACUAGUCCCAAAGGGAAAGAGAUGAUUAAAGCAUGCGGAGGGGCACGUGGAGAAGGUACUGAAGCUGGGCCAUGGCACAGAAGCUAUUUAGGCCAAGGUGCACCUUUCUCUUUUUUUUUUUCUUUCCUACUUUCCCUCACUUCAGUAAUCUACGUUGCUUCAUCUGGGUGGCUUAACUUUCCUGCUACACUGACCCUUCCUCUUCUGAAAGCCACUACAUAUCUCACCCACCACAACAACUUUACUACCUCAUCCUUCGCGUUGGUUUUUGUUGCUCUCUCUCUCUCUCUCUCUCUCUCUCUCUCUCUCUCUCUCUCUUCUGUAUCUGGUGAGUUUAUGCAAACAUGUUGCUUUUGUUUGUUUGUGUGAUAGGUUCUUGCUCAUGGACCUUUUUGGUGUUUCAAUAAGAGGCAUGGAAAAUUUUGGUUUUUUUUAUUUUUAUUUUGGCAUGUAGCUCAUCUCAUCACUUGUGCAGUGUGCUGAUGUGUUUGAUUGAUAAAAAGUUGGUGGAUUUAUGGUACAGUUUCACCAUUCAAUUUUCUUCAAUUUUUAUCUUUUAUUCUUCAUUUUGAUAGUUUAGGAUCAUACUUUGUAGAUUGUGUUCUAGAUCAUUGAUAUUUUGGUGGCUAGUUCAUUAAGAAAAAGGAGACUAAUUAAUACAUGUAUUAUUUCUUUGGUAAAGUAUGUUCUGACUCUUAGGGACUCCUUAUAUAUUGGCAACUUCUGAUCUGAUCGACCGUACCUAGCGCAGUUGGCUAAGAACUUGACACUUGGUGUCAGAGAUCCCCCGUUCGAAAUCUAGUUGCUCCAUACUCCUUGCUGAGUUCAUUUCUAAAUAAUGAAUGAAGCGGUUUGCGUUGUAAAACUUUCUCUCUCUCUCAAAAGAAAAGACUCUGAAAAAUUAUAAUUUAAGCAGAGAUUUUCCCUUGUAUAUAAGAUAGUUUGUCUUUUUGAGGAUAAUUUGGACUAGAAUUUUUGUUAUUCUUUUGUUAGAAACCAGUUUAUCUGAUUGAGGACAAUUUUGAUAGGAAGGAUUUGUUUAUGGUUUGGUAUUUAACAGCAGAAAAAGCUGUUAUUUCUCAAGUUUAUAUGCUUGUGAAUCCAUAAUCACCUGAGAUUGUUGGUUUACUUACUAGCAUACAUACCUUUCACUAAUCACUCCUUGCUGUUCCUCUGAAUACAAUAGUAACAUGGCUAAAUGACUUAAUAGUGAUCAAUUUGGUUAAUUAUUUCCUUUUUCCUUUAAUCUAUUUUUGGACAAUUGCGCGCCUUUUUGCAGAAAUUACUUUGAUGUCUGAAUUUCAUUCCAACUAGAGAAAUGGGUUCCGGAGACUGGUUUAGGACGAUUGUCAGAAAGAAGAAAACAAAGCUACUGAAGGUAACUCCAUUCUCUUACUCAGUCGUUUAACCUCAUCUUGUGUCUUGUGCUCUUACUUUAUCCGUUGGAAAGACGACUAAGCUUGAGCAAGAUUCAGGCUAGUAGAAUAUCAUCUUGCGACAACAUGUUCGUAUGAUUUCAUUCAUAUCAGGAAGAGCCAUUGAUUGCUUAUGCACUUUGACUUCCACUGAACUCUUAUUGAUUUUCGAUAGUUGAUGAUAAUACCUCGGGAGAGGUAAUGCGAUGAGUUUCAAAAGAUUAUGGCAUUCAUGUUAAGUAUAUUAAUUUCAAUUAGUAAUCUGUAUCAAGGUGCAGUUGGCAAUUUGAAAACUAGUGGUGGAUGAAAUUAUUACAUCCCUGUAGGAUGAUGUUCUUUGACUUGUGACACAUGCUAAUGACCUUAUUUUGAUAGAGGAAUCAUAUGCUGAACAAUCAGAGAUAAGUUUGAAAAGUAAAACCAAAUAUAUGGAGUUGGUUGGAUAUGAAUUGGAGGAGGGCGAUUAAGGUUCGAUUAAAAUUGAUCGGCAAGAUAUGCCUAAAUAGAAAUUCUGAAUUUUGAGUAAUUAGCCACAAUUAAAGAAAUAUUGAAUAGAAUUCGAAAGUAAGAAAUAAUCCUAAAUGCAUAUGUUUUCGACUGCUGCUCUGUGAUAAGAAAUCGGAAUGAGGCUUAGUAAUCUUUUAAAAUGAAAAGGGCUAGAAAAAAAAAGUUAUCGAUCGACCGCUUAUUCUGUGAUAGGAAAUUGGACCGCCGAGGCAGUUGCAUGAUAUGUUUUCUCUAUUUCAUCACUCGGAUCUCGUAUUGUUUCUUAUGAAGUCACUCUGUUUAACAACUCACCAUAUGCGUAUAUGACAGGGAUCUGCUAGUCAACAAUCUAAUGGAUUCAAGCAGCGAAACCAAGCAAAUAAAAAAUUCAGCAAACUGCUUAUUGCUGCUUGCAACGGAAACGACUCUGGCAUAACCAUUGAAGACUUAGCAGCCACUCAAAUUCAAACUGCAUUUCGACGCUACAGGGUAUGUAAAAGAGAGUAUAAUUUUGUGCCCUAACUAGUUUACUACCCCUUAACAUUUUCCUUUAGAAGUAGUUUAUUUAGGCUAAGUUUCUUAUGAUGUAUACUCGUGACUCACUUUCCCCGUAUGCCUAAUCAGCUAUAUCUAUUGCGACAUCUCUAUAAAAUAUGCGACAUAAAUACUCAAACUAAGAAUGCUAGCUUUCAUGAAUAGAUUUGGGAUUCUUUUUCCUAGCGGUUGUUGGGAGUAAAGUUAUGUCUUACUGUUUUAUUCCUUAGUCAUGCAUUUAUAUGCCUAACAUUCUCCAACUUUCUAUGAAAGCCUCGGAUAUGCGAACUCUUUAGUAUUUUAGAUCGGCAUGUUGAAUAUAUAAUAAUAAAGCAUUUUUCUAGCAGCUUAAGCUUUCUGAGAAAACGGGUAGAACCAGUUUUAGCUUUUAGAGAAAAACAAGUAUUUCGCAUGGUAUUAGAUUACGAGAUCCUGUAUUCAAGUGUUUCUAGGCUCUUAGUUUUGUUUAGUUUCCUAAUCAAAUGCCCUCUUAUUUAAUUAAAGUUCAUUCCUUCGAGCUUAGACAUAACAAGAAAGCUUAGUGUUUUACAUAAAACACUAAAGCAUUUUUGUCUCGCAGUGUAAGCUUUUAGAGAAAACGGUUAUAUCACGCAACCUACCGAAGUUUUUCAGGUGAUUCGGCUAAGUAGUGGUUUAUGCACCGUCUUUGUAGGCAAGGAAGACUCUCCGAUGUUUGAAGGGGAUGAAACGAUUAAAUGUCCUCGCCAACGGUCAUCCAGUUAAGAAGCAGGCGUCCACCACGCUGAGCUAUAUUCAAUCCUGGAGCAGAAUACAAGCAGAAAUUAGAGAUCGCCGUGCCUCUAUGGUGACAGAAGUCCGCAGCAGGCAAAAGAGGCAGGAAAAUCAGAUGAAACUAGAGGCUAAGCUCCAUGACUUGGAGGUGAGGAAUAUCACAAACAUAAAUUGUCUCGAUUGUCUUUCGAAUUCUCAGUGAUUUUAACUGUUGUUAGAAGGUGAAAUUGUUUUCUACAAGGUUACCGUGCAUAGGUGAUAUUACAGGUGGUGUUUAUGCCGCUGCGAUGAAUCCUUGUGGUUUUUACUAAUAAUAGAUGUGCUAAAACACUGGCUUUUCUGAUUUCAUUUAUUUUCUUCUAGGUUGCAUUUAGCAAUGUAACUUAAUCUAACAAAUGCAAGGAUUUUAUGCUGCAGAUUCUGAUUCUGUUUAUCACCUUGGUUGUCCACAUCUAUGUUCCCUUGUCACCCUCUUGCAUAAAAAUAAUAAUAGUAAUAGUAAUCAAAACAAAAGGUCGCAGCAGAAAAAUUUGGGACUUUUGAAUCUACUCUUAAGUUUUCUAUGGAUUCUGGAUUUUAUUCGUGUGUGUUCCGACAGGUCGAGUGGUGUGGAGGCCCCGAAUCCAUCGAGGAGAUAAUUGCGAGGAUACAACUAAGGGAAGAAGCUGCAGUGAAGCGUGAAAGGGCAAUGGCAUAUGCAUUUUCUCAUCAGGUCUGUUAUUGAAACCACGCCACUACAUGUUCAAGUUCAUGAAUUUCUACAGGUGUUGAAUUAUUAAACAAAAAUGAUUUGACUUUAUCAAAUGGUUAAUUUGUAAGGGUGUUGAAUUGUUAAAUAGUUAUAGCUAAUUCAUGGUUUCUUGUAAAUAUUUUGUCAACAAUCACAUACUGUCGAAUAGUGCGGAGAUGAAAUGAGAAUGUUGUGACUAUGCAUGGGACUCAUGUAACAUUUUCCUUGCAGUGGCGAGCCAACUCGGGCAUCGGUCUAGGGCCGUUCUUCUAUGAAGUUGGGAAAGGUAACUGGGGGUGGAGCUGGAUCGAGCGGUGGACGGCCGCCCGGCCAUGGGAGCCCCGGAUUCCGGCACUCUCCACGAGCCCAAAAAAUGCGCCGACAAAGACACCAAGCAAAGUUAGUAAGAGCACAAACCAGGCACUUCCAAAAGCUCUUUGUCAAGUUAAACCUACCCUUGCCGACGCAAAGAGCUCGACAAAGAGAUCAUCUCUAUCAAACGAAGAGAAAGCUGUCGCCCGAGAGCCGAAAACAAAUUCAAUCAGCUCUUCCCAGCAGAAACCGAAGAAUCAAAAGGCGAAAGAACAGAAGAUUUCCUCUCAAACUGGGUAAACACGAUAAACGAAUCCUUCAUGAUAAGUAAUGAAUGAUUGUUUGAUGUUAUGUUCAUUGUUUUUUUUUUCUACUCUUUUACCAUCUGAUUGCAACAAUAAAAAGGUUUUCUUUUCGUUUUAUGUAAAAUUCGUUGGAUGUAUAUACACAACAUGUGCCUUCAUGUGAAAGCGGCAAUUCAGAGUGGCUAGGCAACAUGUUACUUGUAAUAAGACUAGCAUUUGUCUUCCUGGAUGAUUGCGACGGAUAACGCCGAUUGGUUGGCCCAUGGAUCUAUGCUACUGUCCAUUUGUUAUCUGCCUAAACAGAUCUUCAGCGCUUCAGUAGUGUUUGGCCCUUUCUGCAAUGAUAUGGACUUGUUGGAGGGUGGAGUAUUUAAUUUAACAGAAUUUUGAUAGAUCUCUCUAGAUAUAUCUGUUUCUGUAAAUGCUGCAGGUUGGUCAAAAGGAGAUCUAAUUCAAAUUGCACCGCGGUAAUAAUUAGGCAUCUAGCAUGUGGCCCUUUAUCUAAUGAAACAACUUUAUAUAUGUACCAACUAAAAUUUAAUGUACCAUCUGAAACAUGGCAAAUUAUACAAAAUAUGGUCACCUAGUACGAAAAUUGAAGAUACUGUGACAAUCUCCUGAAGAACCUUAUAGAGUAAAUUUCAUCAGCACUAAUUCUUCGAUGCAAAAAUAGAAUUUUGUUGUCUUUGUCUGGCAAUGUAAAUCUUCGAUCAAUUACUAAGCUAAAAGCAAAUAAUGCCAAUUGAGUGUUUUCAAAGCAUUAUUACAAGUCAUCAUUUUGUUUCACUUUAUUUACCUAUUUCCUGUCGAUGAAUUGAUCUGCUCAGUGUACUUCGAGACUCAUUAACAUCAGAAAAUCUCAUCAAAUGCAAAUUGCAAAGAGUAAUCAUGCACAAAUUUGUGCCGGAAACUUACAAUCUAGAAUGCAUGGCUUGCGAACAUAUCCUGCAUAUAUUUAUCUGGUGAAUUAAUGUAAUACUGGGCUUCAUUCUUUUCUUUUUUUGAAUAAACUUAGCUUGAAAUCUGAAGUAAAUAGGCUUCGAACUUGAAACCUCGGGUGUCAACUAUCGGGUUCUUUGUCACUUGCGCUAAAGACAGUAGGUGUGAUAAUGGUUGUUGUGUGCAAUCCGUAGCAUGUACAGGGACCGUGCUGAAAUUGCGGAUGCAAUAAAUGAAUGGACUUGGAAGUAAGUAACUUGUUUGGGUUUUAAAGGGCCACAUAUUAACUACAUAGCCUCUUUCCCUUAAAUUCACCGGACAAGAAGCUGACAAUAGCGACAGACACUUCAAAUUGAAUAGAAAGUAGUUGGUUUGCCUUGGCUAGAACUUGAUAUAAAAAAAAUUCUCUUAGAAAACAUAAACAACUUCUUUAAAAAUCUGUUCUAUGACUCCUCGACGUAAUAAUUGGAACUUCGCAUACUAUUUCAGCUUCGUCAUUAGCUGCCAAACGCCUGACUGUUGUUUUUCAAAAUAGACAAACUAUCCUCGGAAUAUUUGGCGCAUGCUUCCAAAAGCUAUUCCAAAAACGCGUUGGCUUCCUAUCUGGGGUGAUUUUGGCAAAAAAAAAAAAAAAAAAAAAAAAAAUUGACGGUUCUCUUUGGAACAGCUUUACUUAAACAUCACUUCAGUGAAUUCUUUCUUCAUAGGAGUUUUGUUUUUGAAAACCAUAAGAAUUCUCACGGAUGAAAAAAGUUUGCAAAAAAGGCGUAAACUUGAUAGACCUUUGAUGGAAAACAAAGGGGAGAAGAGUAAAUGCCAAGGCUUGAUGAUGGCUCCCAGAAGCAAAACUCACAAGUAGCUUCCUCCAACAAAAGAACAGCCUAAAAGAGCAUGCAUAGUACAGACAAGAGAAAGCAAGUGGAGGCCAACCAGGGAGGCAAAAUAUGCAGUCAUUGGCAUCUACCAUCUGGCAUAAUGCUAUCGAACCCACACAAAGUGGAGGGUAUUGUAAAAAGGCAAAGGUAAAAUAGUGAGAGGAAGGGUCCUUGUAAUCAAGUAAAUGUUACCAACUUUUGUUCUUUGUUUGCAAUAUGUUCUCUUCCUUUGCUUGUUAGAUGGGAAGCUUUUCUUGUGAGCAAUUGAAUGAGGGGAAAUUAUAAAAGUGGCUGACAAAUUGGACAAUGAAAGCCCCCCACUGCAUAUGGGAUGGGAAUGUGAAGCCAUGAAAGUGAAUGUUGAGUGCAGCUCUUUUGGUUGUUUGGGGAAGUUGCUGAGAGCAUCAGUUGUGUCAUAGCACAAAGCAAAAUAAAGAAUACAAAAAUAAAUCCAUAAUAUAACCAAGGAACAGGGGAAAAAGGCCAUCCAUUUCCAAUCAAAGCAAAAGUCUCUCCAUCAACUCAUCAGCAUCAAAAAACAUCAUCUUCACCUCCAAGUCACAAAAUAAAGCAGUUACUCUCACUGCUCACUCUUUCUUGAAACACUUAUUAUUCUAGUACCAGAAUCCAGAGACUUCCCAUAGCCAAAAUGGAAAACACUAAAACAGGACUACAACACAAAGCAACUUCAACUACUAACACUAGUGCUAAAAUAGCAAACUGAGACUAAGCACAUAAAUAGAAGCAAAAGGCUCAUAAGAAGCCCUUUUGAAACAAAACCAAAGAUAAGAGAGGAGAGAUCAACCAACCAACCAACCAACCAACCAAUGCUUGAUGGAUUUUAGUCCUACAAGAAAAGGCGGCACAAUUCAGAGGAAAGAAUAAAAGGGGGGGAGAGGAGGAAGAAGAAGAAACUUUGAAGAGAAAUGUGAGAAUUACCAAUGGAGGUGGGGGUUUAAGUGGUGGCAGAGUCUCUAUCAUCCUCUCCAAUUCAAUGGUGGGAAACAGAGGAGGCAGAGGGCGGCUUGUCGCCGUCGUGCUCCUCCUCGCCCUGUAUACGAGCCGGGAUGCGGAAGCCCGAGAAUCCGGCCCCCGACGCGAACCCGAAUGCCGGGACCGAGGGAUUGAGCCCAAGGCCUUGGUGCAUCCGGUGGUGGUGUUCGGCGGCGGCGGCGGUGGAGGCUUCGGCGGGCUCCGCGGCCCACGCCCGGAACGAGGGCGAGUUACUGGACUGAAGGGGUCCCCUCUGAAUAAAAAACUGGUUUUGGCCGAGCACCACCGACGGGUGCAUCGGCGGCGGCGGCGGUUGCGGCGGCGGGGGCGGGGGCAUGUUGAAGGCGCUCGGCUCCGCCACGUUCCAGCAAUGCACCAGUCGCUGAUGGGGCUCGGACCACACGGCCGAGCCCGGGUCGAACGCGGCGGCCAAGUUGGCUGAGAAGAGGGCUUGGUGGUGGGCGGCAGCGGAGGGGGCGGUGGGGGGCUGGGCGCUGUGGGGGUUGGGAAAAAUGGGAUCUUGGAACGAUUGCAGCGAUAGGCGGAGGUCCUGGCUCUGGCCGUGGUAGCUGUGGAAGCCGAUGGAAGGCGCCGAUGCCGCCGCGGUGGCGGAGGCCCCAGCGCCCAUGGGGAAGAAGGACUUGAUGGUGUCGGCGAUGGCAUCGGAGUCCAACGAAGGCGGGAGGAAGCUGGUACUACUGCUUCCGCCGCCGAUGCCGCCGUUACCGCCGCCGCCGCGGGCGCCGCUAUCGCCGAAGUCGAAUGGGGGAGAAUUGUCGGCGAUGGGGCGCUUUCCGGCGUCGCCGAAUUGGUGUUCGGCGGAAUGCCGCAGAGAGUCCGGGGGAGCGGACGAGGCGGGGUGCCAGGCGGGGAGCUCGGCGAGCUUGUCGAUGGCGUCCUUGGCAUUCUUGAUGAGCCAGUCGACGGCCUUGCUGGGCCGGUCGUAGCCAAGGCGGUCCUGGACGUCGUAGAAUUGGAUGGCGGUGUGCGCCGAGAGCCGCACCCGGCGGUCCCGGGGCCCCUUGGCCGUGCACACCUUGCUGUGCCGGUCCUUGCGCCCCGUCGACCGCACAAUGUGGCCCCCCUGCACCUCCACUAUCUCCCCUCCUCCGCCCCCGAUGCUGCUGCUGCGCCUGCUGCUCCUGCUGCUGUCCGAACACCACCAGCUGCUGCUGCUGCUGCUGCUGCUGCUGCUGAAACUGAAGCUGAUGAUAGUACCCAUGCGCAUCCCCUGCCCGCUCGGCAAGAAUGCUGUAAUCCGAAGAGAAAGCCGUGGCUGCGGUGGCGGCAGACGACGAAGGCGCGCUGAUCGAGCGAAAAUAAGACCGCCGCCUCGACGCCUGCGACGCUGCCUGCUCCUCCUCCUCCUCCUCCUGCUGCUGCUCUUGCUCUUGCUCUUGCUGCCGCUGGUACUGCAGGUUCUGCUGCGGCUCCUCCUCCUUGGGUUCGUCGGCGUCGUCGCUUUCGUGAUCUCUUUCGCUUUCUCUUGGGUUUGGAAUUGGGUGGUAGUGCGCCCUUCUCGGAUCCAGAUCCUUCUCCCCCCUCUUCCCCUCCUCCUCCUCCUCCUCCUCCUCCUCCUCCUCCAGAUUCCAGAAACNCCCCUGUCCUCACUCCUCCUCACAACCCCGGCCUAACAAAAGAAAACCAACCUCAGCGUUUUAGAACCAAAAAGAGAAACGGAGUAAAUAGUUAACAAACAAAUUUUAAAAAAAGAAAGAAAAAAAGAUUAAAGAUUAAAAGAAUAAAAUAAAGUUUCAAAAAAGAAGGGAACUAAGAAAAGAAGAGGCUACAAACUAUAGGCAUACUACUACUACUACUACUAACUGUUACUACUAACUGUUACUACUCAAUACUUGCCUUUUAACACUUGAAUCCAGUGAGUUGGCUCAAUUGGAAAGAUGGGGUCUUUCUCUUUUCUUUUCUCUUAUUUUUUUCCUUCCUUGAUCUCUUUCUUUUUUUUUUCUUAAACUCACUCGGGGCUACAAGCCCAGAAACCAAGUGGCCAUUUUUCCUAUCACAUUUUGGCAAAGGGAGAGUUUGAAGCAAAAGGUGUGGGAGCAGAGGCGGAGCAAGAAGACACAGUGGGAGAAGAGAUUUGGUUUUUAGUGGUUAGAGAGAGAGAGAGAGAGAGUGCGUAUGUGUAUGCGUGUGUGUGUGUUUGUGUAAGUGUGUUUAUUUCUGUGGACCGGGCCUAUCGAAGCCAUAAAGGAAGAGAGAGGAGACAAGCGUCAGAGAUUAAAGAUCCUGAUGAUAUAUAAUCCAAUCGGCCCUCUCCCAUCUCCUAAAGGGAGACUAUAAACUAUUUCUUGCACCUGGCGUAUAAGUACAUCUCAUACACCACACUCGUGAAAUCGUACUACACGGUUCUCGACGUCUGAAUCCAUCUUAAUAGCAUUCCAAAGACUUUUAUAUUAAAAAUUAUACAAAAAGUUUGAAUUUUGAUGUGUUAAUAAGUUGAACAACAGUCCCUCUAAAGAGUUAAUUUUUAGAAUUAUUUAAUCCCUCGGUGAUGCCCUUUGUAUAUAAACCUUUCAUAUAUUAUAAAUCAUCAUAUUUAUUAGAUUAGGUUUUAGUUUUAUAUUAGCUGAGACGUAUGGCACCUAUAAAUAUGCUCGGUGCGGAGCAAAAUAAUGCGUCCUAAAAAAACCUUAAAUAAAGAACACCCACUUUGUGGAAUUUCGUUUAGAGUAUUGAGAUCGAUUUACCAACCAAACAUAACUAGUUGGCUAGGAACUUGAUAAACUAGUAUUCGAGAUUCCAAAUUUAAAAACUUAUUAUUCUAUAUUUCUAGCUGAGUUUUUUAUAUAGAAAUGAAUAAAAUGAAUAUAUAGUUUGCUACCAUUCUCUAAGAAAAACAGUAAAGUAUUGAACAGCUUUGGACGAAAAAAUUUUAUAUUAUAAUAAAACUUUUAGAUUCGAAUGCGAGUUAAAUCGCUCUAUUUAUAUAUCAAACCAAACUAUCUCAUCCAGAUCUCGAGAAGUGUUCCUCAGGGAAGUCGCGCUCCCCUAAACCCAGCAAGAAGAUAAAAGAAUAGACCCCUCCCUUGUUCACAGAAAACCAUUCCCCCCUCUCUUCUUUCUUUUGAGAUUGGGCAUAGCACAGCUUUUGGUUAUAUCCGGGCUCCUUUAAUGCUUUGCCAAUUAAAGAGACAGUACCUUUUCUCACCCCCAUGGUGUUUGCCAAAAUUACAACUAAUCCCCUCCCUCAUCCCCUUCUCCCUUUUCUAAGCUCAUCAAGGUUAACAAAACAAUAAAUAAAUAAGUGCAACUCCGACCAUUUACUCUCCUUCUUUUUUUUUUGUUGCUUCUUAUCCAACCAGAUAGGGACAUUAAUUCCUAUGGGAAUAAAUACUAAACACUAAUUAAAAAACCCAAAAAAAUAAACCUCAACAUAUAGUUUCAUAUAUAUAUAGUUCAUUAUUUUUGUUCCGACUCAUCUGAAUAAGUUAAUAAAUUAAUACAAGAUGACAUGGGAAUAAGAGAGAGUAAAUUAAAAAAAAGAGUUAACAUAAAUUUCCAGAAGAGAGAGAGAGAGAGAGAGAGAGAGAGAGAGAGAGAGAGAGCUGUGGUGGCCCUCAUUGAGUCGGAUCAGUUAUUGCGAGGAUAGUGACUCAACGCCAUCAACUGUGCUAUGAUGGGCACCUGUGAAAUUACCAAAAUGCCCUUUUAUUUAUUUUAUUUCUGUACGUGGAUGUAAUGCUUUCGGAAAUCUAUCAAAUUUUUGUUCCUGAAAUCUAGCAAUCAUCUGAGAUUCCCCUGUCCAAUCCAUUCCCACACUUUGAAUGGGAGCGGAAUUGUUACAUGCACUAGAUGUAGCAAUGCAUCUCAUACACCCCUUUUUUUAAUGUAACGAAAUAUCAUUUAUGAUAUACUUUAGAAUGUAUAAGUUUGAUCAAAGAAUUUAUUAUUUGGACAUCAGAUAAGUAGUUGAUUCACAAGAAAUAAAUAUCCUAAUUUUAACGUAUAAUUUUUUAUUUAUUAUAAAGUAAUAGGUCUAAUUCAUGAUUUCAAGAGAGAGAAAGAGAGAGUAACAGUUACUCAUCUGUUUCCCUAAUGACCUUAUAAAAUUAUUAUUAUUAUAAGUUCUCUAAAAUAUUAUCAAUUAAAUAUGUGCACACUCUAUAAGUUAUCAUAUAAAUUUACAUGCACAAAAAGAAACUAUAAUUUUAAAGGAACCGAAACAUUUCUCUCCGAUAGAAGAGUUUUAUGAGUACGCCGGAUGUUACCUGAGUUGUCUUUAUCAAAGGUUUGGUGUUUAGUUCCGUACGUGCAUUUCACAAAUUGAGCUUGUACUUAUGAUAUCCCAACUUUUCAAGAGGUCACCUAUUCUAAAUGACUAUUCUAGUCUUAGUACGCUUAACUUUUUUAACAUCUUAGGUCUAACCAUUGUCCAAAAUAUUUUAGAUCCUAUUAUAUCUUAUAUAUAGGACUAUCUGGAGUCACAUAGUACCACCAGCUUCUUAAGCUGCAUGCAGAAUGAUAUACGUAUACAAGAGGUGUAUUCUUUAAGACGUCUACGAAUAUUUGUGAACCGGGUUCAUGAAAAAAAAAAAAAAGUGGAGGGGGUGGGCACUUUUUAAGGUGUCAUCUCACGCGUCAUUUGGAUUUGAUGUGGUUUGGGAUUGGGCACGCAUCGUCACGCCCGGAAUGAAGGGAAUGAGUUAAAAAAAUAAUAAUAAUAAGUAAAAAAAAAAAAAAUAAUGUUGUUUGUUUGAACGAUUCGGUUCUUUUGCUGCGGUCGGUGCCACGCCCAGCAGAAUCACAGCCCAAACCAAACGCUUUUUUUCCCUUUUUUUUUUAAUAUUAUAUUUUUUUAUAUUUAAAUUUUUUUUUUGUUCUUUAUCUUUUUGAGGUAAUUACAUGAUUAGUACCAAGUGUGAGACGAGUGACAUUUUAAUUCUUUAACUUUAACUUAUUAUAAAUUAUAAUUUAAUUGAUUUAUUUAUUUAUUAUAAUUAUGUUUUGAAAUCUAAUUUAGUUGGCUAAAUAUUAAAGUAUCGUUGAUUUAAAAUAAUAUAUUAUUAUAAUUAUUAGCACAUUAUCAAUGCAAUACAUUAAUAUGUAGUUAAUUAAAUCAGACUAUAAUAUUUAAUUGCAAUAAAUUCUGAAAAGUCGAUACAGAAAUUAUAAUUAAUUAAGAUUGAGAAUUGACGUACAAUUUAUCUAUUAUUUUAUAUUUAUUCUUUUCUUUUUCUUUUUUUUUUUUGUAUUUGAGUUGGGGUGGAUUGGAAACCGAAAUGCUAAACGCCCGUGACGAUAACUCUGGUACGUACGAAAUAAAUAAAAUGAAAAAGUUAAAUGGAGAAACGGGAUCUAUGUAGGCCCAUGUAGAUCGAUUAGCUACAGGAGUUCAUGUGCUCCUCUCUCUCUCUCUCUCUCUCUACUUUUAUUUGUUUAAAUCUCUAUGUAAACAAAUUGUCAAAUAUAAAAAUAUAUAAAUACCAUUUUUUACGGUUUAAUUUUUUAGAGCAUAUAUAACAGUUGUUUUACAUGAUAUUAGAGAAGAAGAUUCUGAGUUUGAACUACGCCAGACUCCCGAUAUUAUUAAUUUCCUCCCUCAUGGCCGGUCUUGCAAAGAGUUGUCCGGACGUGAGAAGGAGUGUUAAAUAUAAAAGUACAAAAACACCGUUAUCUAACAGCUUAAUUAAAUCUAUCGAUUUCGUUGGUACUGGCUCUAAUGAAGGAACAAUAAUACUGAUCAAAACGUCUUCUCAGAACUCUCUAUAGCCAAUUCAAAAAUUGUAAAUAUUUUUGCCUUUUGCUGCACUUAGAAACUCCAUACUUUUUUUAUUAUCAGAAGUCGAAGCAAAAGCAGGCCAAAUAUACAUACAUCAAAGCUUUGAACAUAAAACUUAAUUAGGAAGGCAUUUGUAUAAUUAAUUAAUUAAACCGCCCAUCUAUAAUUAAUCUCACCAUUUGGCUUGGCAUGCAUGUUCACGUUUCAGAAUCCUGCAGGUUCUGAAAGAUAAGUACAGAGUGAAUUAAUUAUUAACUUUACAGGUACCUCUCGGGUGGUGAGUACGUAGCCGUAAUUUGUGAACAUGGUCCUAUUAUAGAGAUAAUAUCUAAUUUGUCCUUCAAAAUUUCUGAUAUAUUUUAUAUACGCACACUUGUUUCUUCUUUUAAAUAUAUUUAUUGUAUAUUUUUUUAUUAUUAAAAAGUAAUCUUGUUGUCAGUACCCAUUAUGUCAUCUCGGAUUAAAUUUCUAUCAGAAUUAAAAAAAAAAAAGUCAAAACACCUCUUUUGCCCCUAAUUACUUAAGGGCAAAUGAAAAAAGUUGAUGAUAGUAAAAUGGUAUAUUUUAAAAGAUAAAAAGUUAAAAUAUUUCUUUUGUUCCAAACUUAAGAAUAAAUAAGAAAAUUUGAUGAUGAUAAAAUAAUAAGUUUAUAGAGAUAAUAGAUGCUUCUAACCGCUAUAUUUGAAAUAACAUAACACGUUAGAAAAACAUUUUUAAUAUUAGUCGUUUAAAAAAAUAAUAAGUAUAUAAGUAAUUACCCUUUGACUAUAUAUAAUAUGAUUAAAUAAUUCUUUUUUUUUCUCCUGCAUGUAUCUGUUGGGAGAUGAAUAUGAAUGAUACUUGAUUAUGAGAGGAGAAUAAUUGGUGGUGAUCUGACAUGUAAAAAAAGGUGGUAUGUUUUUUUUUUUUUUUUUUUUUUUUUUUUUUUUUUUUUUUAGUCAAGAGUGUAGUGUUUGUUUUGCCUUUGUGGUUUUGGUACAGAUUUAGUGUUACUUGUGUUCCUUUUUUUAUUUUUUAAGAUUCAGUAUACACCAUAUAUUAUUUGUUCUCUCGUGAGUUUAGUAGAAUUGNUUCCCACACAGCACCCUCUGAAACCCAAUCAUAGUGACAUCAAAAAUAAGAUUCUAAUUGAGUAGGUCCUUUUUGAAUGUGAGAAUAAAUUAUCUAAUAAUAACUUGUUCGGUAGGAAAAUAUUUUUUGUGAUCGAAAGUUAUAAGUUUGAUAUUUUUUUACUCCCUGAAAAAUUUUGGUUUCCAUAAUUUAUUCUAUUCUGAAAAUAAGUUGAUGAGUGAAUAUACUAUCUCAUGAGUAAAUUAAAAAGAUCUGUUGAAUAAAAUGUCAGCCUUAAUAUAUAUUACGGUAUUCGAAAUGGCGAUGAUAUCGAUAAAUCCAAAACUACCAGGUUCAUUGAAUGCAAUUACUAUUAAUUGUUUGAUUAAUUUGAUCAAGAUUCAAUAAACUUAAUUGAUCUGUUCUUUAUAAAUAUAAAUGUGUUAAUGUCACUUUCCUGUUCAAAAAGUCUAUGUAUCACAUUUAUUUAUAAAUUUGAAAUUCUGGUUUAAUUCUUUUGAAUUAAUAAUCGGUAACUUUUCUCAUAUUCCAUUUUUUUCAACGACUUAAAGAGCCCACAUAGCAAAUUUCAAAAUUUAUACUUUUCCAAUAGAUAGGUCUUUUAAAUAUUAUAGAUUAAUUACAUCAGUCAUAGAAGAUUUCGAUUGUAAGGUACUAAUCAUCAAAUAUUCUAUGCGUUGCCUGAGAUCGUGCAGAUACUCCAUGUACCCCAUAAUUUAUCCUCUCUCUCUCUCUCUCUCUCACAGUAGUCUCUUGUACAUAUAUAAUAUGAAUUCGGCUGGAAUACUAUCGAUAGUACCAAGUCUCUCUCUCUCUCUCUCUCAGUAGUCUCUUGUACAUACAUAAUAUGAGUCCGACUGGAAUACUAUUGAUAGCACCAAGUGUUUUCUGCCAUCAAGUUUUCUGCCGUUAGAUUUAACUCCUUGACUUUUUUUACCCGUUAGAUUAUUAUACUAUUAAACCAAUAACUCACUCAGCUCUAGAAGGCUCACAUCAUCAUAACCGUAUAUUUUUUCAUCCAAGGCCUGAAAACUUAAUAGCACCAAUAGCUUGGUGCUAUUAAUAGUAUUCCAGCUUAGUUUUACAUAAUAUUAUAUAUAUAUAUAUAUAUAUAUAUAUAUAUAUAUAGACACAUGGUAGCAGGAAGCAAGCAGCAGCAGAAGCCACAGCUACAGCUACAGCUAACAGCUACUGCUGAGAAGCUGCUUACUACAACAGCAGCAGCAGCAGCUGCUGCACUCUUUUUGUGCUCCCAUGCAUGCAUUCACUGCAAAAGAUUUUAAAAUUAUUCGGGUACUGAGCCAAUCCUUUGGUUCUUUCCCUCUUUACAGUUGGGUCUCUGGGGAUCGUCCCACAGGCCUACGUACGUAGCACCAUCCCCACCCCCACCACCACCACGCACUCAAAUUCAAUUUGCAAAUUAAAACCCAAACAAAAAAUAUUUAAACCUUUUUAUCCGUUAACUAAUUUCUCUCUCCAUGCAAAUGAUUAGUUGUCACGUGGGUAAUCAGUACACGUGGAAGAGAGAUGGUGGGCUUAGCUGUUGAAGAUACAAGAGAGAGAACCGGGGGCGGGAUUAUUGCUUGCACCCGGUAUAUAUUCGGAUGUUUCGUGCACCACACCUUUUAAUAUAUAUAUAUAUAUAGAGUGAGGCUACUAUGCUAUCGGAAGUACGGAGCCUUCCGUGCUUCCAACUCGUUUUCGAUGUUGCGACUUUCGAAUCGUCGAUCGGCUUCGUUAAACUUGAUCUAGAGUAUUUGAAGUACCUAGAAAAUAAAUUUUAAGAUUUUUCGAUAUCAUUUGCCUAGUGAACGAAGGGGCUCAAAAUCAACGGCUGAAAAUAAAAAUCUUACAAAAUGUAAUAAUAUGACAUUAAAAUUUUAAAUCAAAGAUAUUGAUCUUGUUUUAUAUAGUAUAAAGAAUUUUCUAUCAAAAUUUCACGUGAUUUGGAUAUUUCUACACCGUUAAACUUGCAAACGGCUCACUACGGCCAUUGAAAUUUGUUGAUUUUGAGCCCCUUCGAUCACUAAGCAAAUGAUAUCGAAAAAUAAUAAAAUUUAUUUUCUAGGUACUCCAAAUACUCUAGAUCAAGUUUAACGGAGCCGAUCGACGAUUCGAAAGUCGCAACAUCGAAAACGAGCUGGAAGCACGGAAGGCUCCGUGCUUCCGAUAGCAUAGUAGCCUCACUCUAUAUAUAUAUAUAUAUAUAUAUAUAUAUAUAUAUAUAUAUAUAUAUAUAUAUAUAUAUUUGAUGUCAAUAUUUAAUUUAGAAUUAAAAUCAAAUUUGACACGCGUGAUAGAUAGUGUCUAAGGUGUCUUUAUGUAAACAUGCAACCACCACUAGGGUCGCUGUCCUUGAGGUGGGGGAGUUCAGGUUCUUGGAUAUAAGAAAAUAAUAUUAGUACUUGAAAGUUAAUUUAGGGGCAGGAGCGAGUUUACUAGCGAAUUUAUUGAAGAAAAUGCCUGCAUAAUCAAAUGGUCUUAAAAAUCAAUUAAUGGUAAAAAUAUAAUCAUUGUUUGAUUUAUAAGAAUAUCAGUGCGUAACAUAUAUGACUUCUGAUAUUUGGGAGUUUUGUACAUACACACAUACAAUGAGUACGUUGUAAGAUGUUGAUUUUGAGUUCUCUGGUGUAUACAGCUUUACAGGUGUAUAUAUACAUGUAUGUACGUGUAGGGGACGAGAUGUAUAUACAUGUGCGCACAUAAUAAUUUUGAUUCACAAAUAGGAAAUAUUGGAGUACGGGGUGCAUGUGAGAGGCUCUUUCAUGUGUGUGUGGCCCAGAAACCUAACUUUUCUAUGUGAUUGGGUUGUGUUGCACGUUAAGCUUGGACUUAAAGCAACAAGAGACUAUAAUGCAUUCUAUUUGCUUUUCCCCUUCUUAUGCAGCUAAAGUGACACUUGCUUUGUUGUGUGGUUGGGAGUGCUCAAUUGAGUCAAAAAUGGCACCAAAAUGAGAGAGAUUGAUGUGGAGAGAAAGAGAGAGAUUUUAUGUAUGUUUUGAUCGUCACAUUCAUAUAUAAUGUAAGAAAGAGACAUUUGAGGUAACAUACAGUUGAUUUUGAUGGAUGGGGUAAAGAGGAACAUGAAGAAUAUUGAUGGAGGAUGAUUUUUUUGGCAAUUUGACUAGCUAGCGACUUUGCCAAGUUGAGUAAGCUACGACGGAUUUGGAGCAUCAUUUGCGAGAGCAACAUUUUCAAAUAUAUACAACAUACAUAAAAUUGACGCUCAUAUAAAACAACAAGUUCAUGCAAGUGCCUUAAUUGCGCUUCAAAUCAUGUUGCAAAUGUACAAAAAGAACUCGAUGUAUAUGUUUAAGGGACUGUUUGGAGAUUGAUCGAGCUGCAUCUCUGAGAAUAUUAUACGUUCAAAUUAAAGUCUUAUUUGGCAUGUUUAAUUGUAUUCGGGUCGAAAAAUGGCUCUACUUAAUUACUUACUUUUCAAAUGAGAAAAGAGCUAGUAAUUUUCCUACACUCGGCCCGCCCCACUUAUUUACUGCCUUUUCAAUAAAAUUAAAAGGGUAAUUUUACCAUGCUGGAGAUAAUAUCAGCGCCCCAUAUAUAAAUUAAAUGCAAAUUAUUCUAACUCUCAAGUGCAUGCAGCAGCAUAUAUAUAUAUAGUUAAUUAAUUGUAACGUUAAGCAUCGAUCAAUCAACAGCGUGUAAUUACAUUAAAAUAGUUUGUCAAUGAGAAAUACUUUUGUAAUCCAUAGGAUAAAUUCAACAAAUUGACUUUUAAAGGGACUCCACAAAAUUUAGAUUUCACAGGGAUAUAUGCAAUAGAUGAUAUAUAUUUCGGAUAAAGAUGUAAUUGAUCCAUAGUGACAUAGAUAAUAAAGACAUAAUGAUCAUGCAUGUUAUCCUUGCUUUUGAAGCACUUAUCUCAUUCUCAAACCAAGUUUCCGACAUCUCAUCAUUGAAAAAAAAGAAAACAAAAAAAAAAGGACAUUAGAAUUGUAAGCAACAAGGGUCCACUUAACACACAAUUAAUGUACUAACUUUUACCGAAGAGGAAAGUUUUUGGAGUAUGCUGUAAAGAUUGAAUUAGCACAUAUAACAUGCACCUCCUUGUCCUCUUCUUUUGUGUGGCUAUGCAAGGAUUAAUUCUUUUCAUAACUGUUCAAUGAUAACUUUUAUAAUAUGAAAUUUAUCUAGUAAUAAUCAUAAUUUUGGUAGGAACAUAUUUCAUCUAUGAAAUAAUUUAUCUUAUUCUAAAAAAAAUGAGUUGAAAGGUUGAAUUAAUAUAGCGUACUUUUCUAAACAUUUAUUCACACUUUUACUCUGACCACAAAAACUCUAUAUAUAUGAAUUUGUUUAGUACAUAUAAAAAAAAGUGUUGCUGAGCAAAACGUUGAUGCGUCCGAACAAGCCCUAAGUAUCUUACAUUCAUUGACCUCUGGCAUUAAAUCUCGGUUCAAGUCGCAGUUCAAGUGCGAUGUGGAUGUGGACGUGUUCGUGUGAGCUUACAUACUAGUUCACAAAAAAUAAAAAAAAACAAAAACAAAAAAUAAAAAAAAAAACACAUUAGGAAUUAAUGUAUAGGUGCUUGCACGCAACCGAGAGUGUAGAACGCAGCGGAAGUAUUCGUUCGUAACUUUUUGCGGAAGCGAUUCGCGCUAUAACGCGACGAGCCCAGAUCGUAGAGAUUGAUUCACGUGUCCUUGGAUCGUACUUGAAGGUCUUAUAAUGCUCCGAACUCGCGGUGGAUUUAACUACAAACGAGCACGAUCGCAAAUCCACCGUUCAAGUCCAUCUAGAAUAAUAGGUUAAUGGAGAAUGUGGUUUUUCUCUUUUUAUUUUCUUAUUCUCUUUCUUUUUCCGUUCCGUACAUUAUGUUAUGUGGGAUCGUCCGCAUAUUUAUAAGGGAUUCCAAAACCCUAAUAGCGUAAGAGAUAAUGUCAAAUCGGUUAUUAAUUGUUAACCUAAUAUGAUUAGAUUUUAUCUCUAAAUAGCUUUCCAAUUUAAAAGCGAGAUUAAUUCUAAUCCAAUUAGAUAUCAUAAUAACCGUCGAAUCGAGCCCGAUUAUGGGCGCACCCGAUUCGAUUUAACUGAAUGCCAACAGAGAGAAAAUAACAUCUAACAGAUUAAGAAAUUGCUUCAUUAUUCUCCGUAGUUUUACAGUUGAUUCCAAAAAAAAAAAAGAUAAUCUAGUUCGCCUACGGUAAUUUACUGUUUCGGUUUGGUAAAUUUUAAUGUAGAUGAUUAAUUUUCUUUACUAUUUAUCAAAAAUCAUUAGAGUACAGAGAAUUAAAGUUUCUCUUUUUGCAUCACUCGAAUCACCUGAUCUGAACCUGCAACGCACUACUAAAGAUUUAGACCAGCGGUUGCAUAUAACUCCACAUGCAUUGUAACUUGAACUACCAGAAAUUAUUAAUUUGCUACAGUCAGUGCAUUUGUACGUUCCUACAUCGUUGGCCCGUCUCAUGUCUCAUCGUCGAUUGUAUCUCAUAUUUUGAAAACUUAAUUUUAUU